rnacentral:rRNA from 1 species
UACGUAGGGGGCAAGCGUUGUCCGGAUUUAUUGGGCGUAAAGAGCGUGUAGGCGGUCAGAUAGGUCCGUUGUGAAAACUGGAGGCUUAACCUCCAGCUGUCGAUGGAAACCAUCUGGCUAGAGUCCGGAAGAGGAGAGUGGAAUUCCUGGUGUAGCGGUGAAAUGCGCAGAUAUCAGGAAGAACACCCGUGGCGAAGGCGGCUCUCUGGGACGGUACUGACGCUGAGACGCGAAAGCGUGGGGAGCGAACAGG